AUGAGAGUUUGAUCCUGGCUCAGGACGAACGCUGGCGGCGUGCCUAAUACAUGCAAGUCGAGCGAGCAGAACCAGCAGAUUUACUUCGGUAAUGACGCUGGGGACGCGAGCGGCGGAUGGGUGAGUAACACGUGGGGAACCUGCCCCAUAGUCUGGGAUACCACUUGGAAACAGGUGCUAAUACCGGAUAAUAAAGCAGAUCGCAUGAUCAGCUUAUAAAAGGCGGCGUAAGCUGUCGCUAUGGGAUGGCCCCGCGGUGCAUUAGCUAGUUGGUAAGGUAACGGCUUACCAAGGCAAUGAUGCAUAGCCGAGUUGAGAGACUGAACGGCCACAUUGGGACUGAGACACGGCCCAAACUCCUACGGGAGGCAGCAGUAGGGAAUCUUCCACAAUGGACGCAAGUCUGAUGGAGCAACGCCGCGUGAGUGAAGAAGGUUUUCGGAUCGUAAAGCUCUGUUGUUGGUGAAGAAGGAUAGAGGUAGUAACUGGCCUUUAUUUGACGGUAAUCAACCAGAAAGUCACGGCUAACUACGUGCCAGCAGCCGCGGUAAUACGUAGGUGGCAAGCGUUGUCCGGAUUUAUUGGGCGUAAAGCGAGCGCAGGCGGAAGAAUAAGUCUGAUGUGAAAGCCCUCGGCUUAACCGAGGAAUUGCAUCGGAAACUGUUUUUCUUGAGUGCAGAAGAGGAGAGUGGAACUCCAUGUGUAGCGGUGGAAUGCGUAGAUAUAUGGAAGAACACCAGUGGCGAAGGCGGCUCUCUGGUCUGCAACUGACGCUGAGGCUCGAAAGCAUGGGUAGCGAACAGGAUUAGAUACCCUGGUAGUCCAUGCCGUAAACGAUGAGUGCUAAGUGUUGGGAGGUUUCCGCCUCUCAGUGCUGCAGCUAACGCAUUAAGCACUCCGCCUGGGGAGUACGACCGCAAGGUUGAAACUCAAAGGAAUUGACGGGGGCCCGCACAAGCGGUGGAGCAUGUGGUUUAAUUCGAAGCAACGCGAAGAACCUUACCAGGUCUUGACAUCUAGUGCCAUCCUAAGAGAUUAGGAGUUCCCUUCGGGGACGCUAAGACAGGUGGUGCAUGGCUGUCGUCAGCUCGUGUCGUGAGAUGUUGGGUUAAGUCCCGCAACGAGCGCAACCCUUAUUAUUAGUUGCCAGCAUUAAGUUGGGCACUCUAAUGAGACUGCCGGUGACAAACCGGAGGAAGGUGGGGAUGACGUCAAGUCAUCAUGCCCCUUAUGACCUGGGCUACACACGUGCUACAAUGGGCAGUACAACGAGAAGCGAGCCUGCGAAGGCAAGCGAAUCUCUGAAAGCUGUUCUCAGUUCGGACUGCAGUCUGCAACUCGACUGCACGAAGCUGGAAUCGCUAGUAAUCGCGGAUCAGAACGCCGCGGUGAAUACGUUCCCGGGCCUUGUACACACCGCCCGUCACACCAUGGAAGUCUGCAAUGCCCAAAGCCGGUGGCCUAACCUUCGGGAAGGAUCCGUCUAAGGCAGGGCAGAUGACUGGGGUGAAGUCGUAACAAGGUAGCCGUAGGAGAACCUGCGGCUGGAUCACCUCCUUU
rnacentral:rRNA from 1 species